CCUACGGGUGGCAGCAGUAGGGAAUAUUGCUCAAUGGGGGAAACCCUGAAGCAGCCACGCCGCGUGGAGGAUGACGGCUCUCUGAUUGUUAACUCCUUUUUUUCGAGAAGCUAAUGACGGUAUCUAUCCCAUACUCCGCGGGUAACUCCGGGCCAGCAGCGGUGGGUAUAUGGCGGGUGCAAGCGUUAAUCGGAAUCAGUGGGCGUAAAGCGGGUGUAGGGGGGAUAGCGAGUCAGAUGUGAAUUCCUAGGGCUUAACCACAGAAGAGCAUUUGAAACUGUUAUUCUAGAGUAGGGGAGAGGUAGGUGGAAGGCGUGGUGUAGGGGUAAAAUCCGUAGAGAUCAAGAGGAAUACUCAUUGCGAAGGCGACCUGCUAGAACAUGACUGACGCUGAUGCGCGAAAGCGUGGGGAGCGAACAGGAUUAGAUACCCGGGUAGUC
rnacentral:rRNA from 1 species